CCUCAAUUGGCAUCUACAAAAUGAAGAUAGAAUCCACAGAUGGAAAAUUCUUUUUUACCAAGGAUUGAAAAUCUAUUUUCCAGUGAGAGGCUCUCCAUAGUCUAGUAGCUACUAGCGGAAGAGAGACGUGUACAUUUUUUUUAUGAAUAUAACAGUUCUACUCCACUUGUGUUUGCUGGUCUGCAUCCAAAGAGUUAUUGCCGAGUCAGGAAAGAUGACUUAGAUACACAUCAUAGAACAAGACCUCAGGGAGAAAGGAACAUCAUCCAUGUCUCUCUUUACUGCUUUGCUAUCUACUAUUCCUGUUAUAAUGCCUCUUGUUAUACUUUUAAUUACACUAGUUGCUUUCAAUGCUUUUCUCAAGGAUAUUCAAGUACUCCCUUGAAUUUUCUAUUUUUCUUGCCUCAAUAUUUGCAUUUAGCAUUAAUAUUGUAUUCAUAUAUUUAAUGAAUUGAUUUCUCAUUAUUCUUGAUUACAUUUUAUUCAUACUCAUGCAGCCAUCUGCGCUGUUCCUGAGCACCUUCUUCUACAUGCAUGUCCUAACCCUCUCAUUGAUAUCAGCGUUGCCCAGGAUCAGGCCCAUAGUACAUCAAGGCUUGUGUCUCUCUUUCUCUCAUAUUUUUCAUUAUUCACUAAUUUAUAGAAUGCCAUAUCUGGCCCUGGCCACACUUGAUCUAUUUGAAUUCUGGUCCUUUAAAUAAUUAAGCCCUGGGACUUAAAGAUAAAAUGAAACUUCAAAUGGCAAGACACAGAGUGCAAACAAAGUGGAGAGAAGGCAAACAUCAUGGAAACAGUGGAAGAUGCUAUCACUGCUUGCUGCAAACCAAAUCAGGAGGAAACUAGACACCUCUAAAGUACAGACUUGAAUAUUAAUCUGUACCAAUUUCAGUUGGAAUACAAUAUGGCAAACAUUUCCCCUCAAUCCUCAAAGCAAGUUAAAACAACCCCCCAAACAGCAAGGCUAAACAAGAACAAUGCAAAUUGAGUUACAAUAAAACAUGAUUGGCAAGCAGAAAUGUUAACUUAAAAACUGACACACAGGCAGACUUUGCUGACUCUCUCCAGCUGCCAGCAAGUUUCUUCCCCUUGGUAGGCUCUCAGCUAAGGAAAGCAUACUAAUUCUCCCAGCUGGAGACACAGUGGGGGACUGGGUAAAAGAGCAUGCCUGUACUGGAUGUGAAGUGUAAGAAUUUUUACAUGCAGAAAUAUGCCUCUCUCUCUCUCUCCCUCUUAUUUAUUUGUAUAUAUAAAAGUUAUUGGAAGAACUGGCCAGUUUCAGCAAAUAGAAAUGGUUACCUUAGGGUCAGCAGUAUUCCUUUGUGCUUCCUUGUACUGGACUCACUCCAGUCAUUACUUUAAAUAUUGAGGUUAGCUACCUUACCUUGCAAAUCUUACUCCAUUAUCUAAAAUGGUUUGUGAAUAUGUGAGGCUAAUGCAUCUGAGAGUGCUAGUUUUGUGCAGCUCUUUUGCUCUUGACGGGGAAAUAUGAGGACUGCAGCUGCUUUACUUAGAGGAAAUAUAUUGAAUGCAACAAGUACAGAGGAACGAAGUGGGAGGAUACUUUGUGUUGUCUUUCCCUUUGGGUGCCUGCUCUGCCUGCAUCAUGUCUCUGUAUGACCCAGAAGUGGUUGAAGUGAAAGCCAACCUCAGCACUUGAACAGUUGCUUUCCAUACAUGACUAAGGGAUGGUUAUGUGAAAAAAUUUCAGAGACAUACAUUUCUUAAAAGUAAUAGUAUAGCUGCGCUUGAGUUAAUUAUAGACAUCUUUCAGCAAAGCCCUAACCAUGAGAGUAGAUCCUGAAAAUAGUUUACCCCUUACCCGUCUGUAAAUACAUGUUCCUUACUAGAUACUGAUGGCAGCUGCCAUCUGGUGUCAUUCCAUUGAAAGGCUCUAAACAUGCCAUCAAUGUAGCCAGAAUCUCUCUUAACUGCCUUGUUAGUUAUCUUAAUGCAAUUAUAGAGCCUUCUAAUCUAUGCUCUGGAUACAAUUAGGAGUCAGGAGAAACCUGCCCUGCCAAUAUGACUACAUGCAAAGAGAGGUGAUUGAUUAAUGACUGCAUCUGCCAAAGUAUCACCCUAUUAGCUUAUGACAUCUGUGCCAAUACCUGAGCCUGUCAACAGGGAGGCAUGAGUCCAUUUUCAGUAACUUCAGCAUAAUGUCCAAAAAUGUUUUAACCUUUCAAAAACCCUUUUGUCUUUUCCUUUGCUUAAGGAGGAAAUCUCCCUGCAUGCUAUUGGUAGGUUGUUGGUACUGUCUGCUAGUGUUUUUUGUAAACUCACAAAUGAAACCCCAUCCAAGGAAAAGAGAGGGAUAUAAUAGCAACCUAUAAGUUUUCAUCAAUACCCACCAAGGAUAAAAUAAUGUGUUGAACACAUCACUAUUUAUGUAUAACUGUCUUUAAUAACUAUAAGCCUAAAUGUUAAGGAAAGUGGCGCCCAGACAAUCACUAAAUAAAUAAGUAGAAAUCAACUGAGUACAAAAUUGAAUGGGUUAUACAAUAAAAACACAUUAAUCUAUGUGUA